UCUCUCUUCAAAUCAAUCAGAAUACAUCAGAGGAAAGAAGAGAGGCUCCAGCAGGAAGACGAAGUGGUGGAGGAAGCUCUGCUGCUGGCUCAGACAAGAGGACACAGAUGACGAGCUGGAGUAGUGACAAGAAAAGCCAGAAGUGGGAAGUGACUUCCAAAGACUUAUUUUUAUACAGAUAUUUCUAUAGAAACUUCUAUAUUGUAUCCUAAGAGAAGCUGACAACUUUG